GGGUGAUUAGCUCAGCUGGGAGAGCACCUCCCUUACAAGGAGGGGAUCGGCGGUUCGAUCCCGUCAUCACCCACCA
rnacentral:tRNA from 7 species